AGUCGAGCGGACAGAUGGGAGCUUGCUCCCUGAUGUUAGCGGCGGACGGGUGAGUAACACGUGGGUAACCUGCCUGUAAGACUGGGAUAACUCCGGGAAACCGGGGCUAAUACCGGAUGGUUGUCUGAACCGCAUGGUUCAGACAUAAAAGGUGGCUUCGGCUACCACUUACAGAUGGACCCGCGGCGCAUUAGCUAGUUGGUGAGGUAACGGCUCACCAAGGCGACGAUGCGUAGCCGACCUGAGAGGGUGAUCGGCCACACUGGGACUGAGACACGGCCCAGACUCCUACGGGAGGCAGCAGUAGGGAAUCUUCCGCAAUGGACGAAAGUCUGACGGAGCAACGCCGCGUGAGUGAUGAAGGUUUUCGGAUCGUAAAGCUCUGUUGUUAGGGAAGAACAAGUGCCGUUCAAAUAGGGCGGCACCUUGACGGUACCUAACCAGAAAGCCACGGCUAACUACGUGCCAGCAGCCGCGGUAAUACGUAGGUGGCAAGCGUUGUCCGGAAUUAUUGGGCGUAAAGGGCUCGCAGGCGGUUUCUUAAGUCUGAUGUGAAAGCCCCCGGCUCAACCGGGGAGGGUCAUUGGAAACUGGGGAACUUGAGUGCAGAAGAGGAGAGUGGAAUUCCACGUGUAGCGGUGAAAUGCGUAGAGAUGUGGAGGAACACCAGUGGCGAAGGCGACUCUCUGGUCUGUAACUGACGCUGAGGAGCGAAAGCGUGGGGAGCGAACAGGAUUAGAUACCCUGGUAGUCCACGCCGUAAACGAUGAGUGCUAAGUGUUUAGGGGGGUUUCCGCCCCUUAGUGCUGCAGCUAACGCAUUAAGCACUCCGCC
rnacentral:rRNA from 1 species